GGCGUGCAUAUAAAUGUAAAUAUAAGGCCCUUUCCCUUGCAUAAACCAGACUUCUUGGACGCCUCCCUCCCUCUCUCUUCGUGCUUUCUUUCUCCUAGAGAGGGGAGGCGAGCAAUCUACCACUCCUCCUCCUCCUCUCUCUAUCUCUCUUCUUCUUCUUCUUCUUCUGCGCCCUCUCCUCCUCAUUCGUCUCCUCCUCCUCUUUUUCUUUUCCUUGCGUAUGUUAAGGCCAUAAGUAUCGGUGGCUCGCGAAGAAAUUGUUCUUCUUCUCCGUUUCUUUGCAUGCCGUCUUCUUCUUCUUCUCUUGCGAUCGGGCGAGGCAGCUAUGGAAGGUCUGCGAUUCCGUAGACAACCGAGCUGCAGCCGUUGUUAGAUGGGGGAGGACAAGAAGACACGGUGGGAUCUUUUCCCUAGGUCGGGUUCUUGUUUUCCUUCUCAAGAUUGUUUGGUCUUCUCUUUCUUCUUCUCCUUCCACUUGUUCUUGGUCUUCCAGGUGGAUAAGGGCCGCGAUGUUGCUUCUUGUUAUCUUUCUCUCUUUCUUCUUUUAUGUUUCUUCUUUCUCGUCGAGAGAGGAGGCGAGCAAUCUACCACUCCUCCUCCUCCUCUCUCCGUCUCUCUUCUUCUUCUUCUUCGCCCUCUCCUCCUCAUCCGUCUCCUCCUCCUCUUUUUCUUUUCCUUGCGUAUGUUAAGGCCAUAAUUAUCGGUGGCUCGCGAAGGGAUUGUUCUUCUUCUCCGUUUCUUUGCAUGCCGUCUUCUUCUUCUUCUCUUGCGAUCGGGCGAGGCAGCUAUGGAAGGUCUGCGAUUCCGUAGACAACCGAGCUGCAGCCAUUGUUAGAUGGGGGAGGACAAGAAGACACGGUGGGAUCUUUUCCCUAGGUCGGGUUCUUGUUUUCCUUCUCAAGAUUGUUUGGUCUUCUCUUUCUUCUUCUCCUUCCACUUGUUCUUGGUCUUCCAGGUGGAUAAGGGCCGCGAUGUUGCUUCUUGUUAUCUUUUUCUGUUUCUUCUUUCUUGCUUUUCUUCUUCUUUGUUUCCCAAAUUGGGAGAGCGGAACUGCUUUUGGGUUCUACAUGAGGAGGCUGUGAUGAUACUGGACGAGGGUUUUUCUAUGUUUCGAGUGGAAAACAACUAGUUCUUGACGGCAAGGCAAUCUUGGAUGGUCUGCUGCUGUUCUUCUGCAGGCAACCGAUUGCAGCCGUUUUGAUUCAUUAGUUGCAGAGCGAAUGGUGAAUCUGAGCCUCCCUCUUCAUCUUCCCCUUCCCUGUUUUCUAAUUCCUGAGCUUUUUUUUUUUCAAAGACUGUUUUUUUAGAGUUUCUUGAAUUUCUUUACCAUGAUUGGUACCAAGCAGCCGAAGAAUUCAUACUUCAUAGCAAACUAGGGUUUCAAGAACCCAAAUCCUCAAAUUUCUAUUUUGUCUGUUGAAAACUAGGGGUUCUGUUGCUUGGCAUAAGGGUUUUUGGUAACAUUCAUGGGAACUAUUUGAGUUACUUCCUUCACAAUAACAAGAGUUUUGGUCUUCUCCACUUUGUUCCGUUCUCCUUCGUCAUUCUUUAUUUUUUUCCUUUUAACUAACAUUAUGACAAGUGAGAACUUGGAAACUCUGCUAUCCUUCAAACCUCGAAGGGAAAUUCUGAAUUGCCAUAUGAAGCUAUCGUUACCAACUGGAGAUGGUUUCUCUACACCACUGCAGGAGGCACAUAAAAAUUUCUCUAGAGCUGGUAAAGUUCCCUGCUUCCCUUGAAUCAUCUGACAUUUUUUCCCAAAUAAUUCUCAAGAUCUCAGUCAAAAAAGUGGACUUUUGCUUGUAACUUGAUAAGGCUAAAUGCUGAAUGAUUUUAAUAAAUCCAUCCAUCGUGUCCAGGUUAGAGCUUGUUGGCUAUGGUUAAAUUAGAUAAUAUAAUCCAUGAUUACUUUUUAAGGUGUAUAGUGCUGCAUAGAUAAGAUACGCUGUGCUAUUGGUUGGGUCAGUUCAGUUUGGGUUGAAGGUCAACCUGAGGUCAAGCUGGAAUUUUUGUGCCCAUGGCCCACUCAAAUUUAUAAAACCUCAACCCAACAUCAACCUCAACCAAACCCUGCUUCAGCCGAGCAUAUUUAGGUGAGAUCCUGGGUUGUUGCAGAUAUCAAACUUUUUCUCUUUCUCAUUGACAAUCGAGUUAGCUUAAAGACUCAGGAACCUAUAGGCCUAGAGUUCCUCCUUUGCAUCUUGACUUUUUGUUGGGUUCUUGUAACGAGAACAGGACAAAGAUCCUCUGGAUUACAUAUAAGUGCUUUUAGUGUAUCCAUUGGUGAUAUAUAUUCUUUUUAAGAUCAUUUGAAAAUCUUACUAAGUGAUCUUAUGCCAUUUGCAUGAGAUGGGAGAGAGUGUCACAAGUUUUCCUCAAAAUGUCGCUUGUUAACUUUUUUCAGUUGCCAAUAUUUUGCCUUUUUUUUAUAUCUGCCAUAUGAUUGUUUAAAACUUUUGCUGUUUGAUUUCCCAUUAAAUAUUGACAUGAAUAUUUGGAGCAAUUAACAUAAGAGAUGUGCAAUGUAGCUUGUGGAGAACAUACAAAGUUUUUGGAGAGAGAAACAUGAGGAUGAGGGUGACAUUUAAGAUAUGAUUUGAGGUUUGACUUAAAGACAGUCAUCGAGAAAAGUUGAUCUCUGACUUGGUCCACUCAUUCUCUAAGACAGCUUAUUUUCAGACCUUCAGAAAAAAGUCCAUUGCGCCUCAUGUGACAGAAGUCUUCCUUUUGUACAGUAAGCACUUGUCCGGAAGGUUUGACCAGACCCCUGAGCUAGGCCUAGGCCCCCUCAUCAAUGGCUUGCUUCUGUCGUUCUUCCUAUCUAGUCAAGUGGUUGAACCUGAUGGUAAUUUUGAUUUGCGUACCCUUGUCUAUCACAUCAUAUCAGGUUUUUAAGAUUUUGGAGUGUUGUUUCAGAGCUUGUUAUGGGAAAUCAUAGUCUCAAGGUUGAAUUACAACAAUGCUUACAAUCUAUAGACAUAUAUUCAGACAUAAAUGGCAAAUCCAAUUCCAGAGUAUUCACCAGGGUAAUAUGUUGUCAACCAUGUUAGACUUGGAAUAUGGGUGUUUAUGAUGGAUCAGUUAAGUGCAUUAAUGGAAUACCCUGCCUGAUAUGCCUUUGGGAGGAUGGCCUAAAAUGGGAGGAUGGCCUAAAAUGCAAGGAUGAGGUUACUUGUGGACCACAUCAGGGCCCGAAAAAAGCAUUUGUAUGACUGAAAUAGAAGGUGAUAUUUCCAAACGAUAUUAAUCUUCAGGAGAUAAGAAGUUACUUAUCUCGUUAUAUUUCAUGCAAAAACCAUGCUUCCUGCAGUAUCUGAUACAAGAUGAGACCAAAGAUCCAUAUAGACAAAAUUAUUCUGGUUCUAGGACCCAUAGCUACACUAUUAGUCAGCGAACAUGAACCCUUCAUUUUAAUUGUUUGAAUUGGAUUUGAGUGUUUUCUGUUGUUACAUGCCGGUGGCAAAAAUGUUGAUGUUGCACUUUGAACUACAAGGUGGCCCGCUUGCCUAUGUGAUUCCCGAUGUAAUUGAAGAAAUUGUGGACUCAGAGCUUGCAGUGGGUACCGAUUACUGUAACUUCAUCCUCAUGUUUGGCAAGCCUGUCGGUGCGGGUUACUCGAGUCAUUAAGUAUAAAAUCUUGGCAUGUAUCAGGAUCUGUGAUCAAUAUGACAAAAGAUUUUCUUGUUGCAGAAAGAUUCUUUUUUCCGUUAUGAGCAAUAUGAUAUGGGGUAAGCAGCUGACUAGAAAAAUGAAUGGUUCUGCGCAUCUGAGUCUCGAAGCAAGGUACCUGUUGCGAAGGGUUUGGUGGACCAGUUUAACCAGAUCAUCAUUUUAACCUGCUAGGCUCAUAGACUGGUCCUUUUGGGAGCUGUUUUGACCAGGUAAGACCAGGGUCCUAUGGGCUAAUUCUGCUGUACAGUAAUCUCCCUUUACUGUUGUCUGCGCAAUUUCGGGAGUCUAGUUAGUGAGAUAUACUAAUAAAGGAUAGUAGAUAACACUUGGAAUACACUUGGAUGUCCUGCAAACAGUGAUGGUUUUGUGAUUGUGCAUGGUUUUUAGGAUAACAAUUUAUUAUUAUUUUUUUGAAACAAUGGUUUUUGAUGAUUUUUUUCCUUUUGUUAUAGAUGCUUUUUAAAUCCUCUGCGAAAUUUUCUGAAAAAAAAUUCUAUUUUAACAUGUCAAAUUCGGAAUGAAGAAAAGAUAGAAUUAUGAUUAUGAGAGCCAUGUGGCUUUAGCUUAAUUUUUAGCCUUUCAACAGUUAAUGUACAUAGAAAUCUUGAUUGUGAUGAGACAUGAAGAUAAUAUUUGUUCAGGCUGAUUAAUGCAGGAAAGUAUUCAGUAAUCCAGGUUCUGUGCCAUCAGCAAAAUGUUGCCUCGUCUAUUAUGUCCAUCUCAUCAGUGCAUAACAAUUGGUUGUCCAGAACUGCUUUUCUUUUCUCUCAUAUUGGUAUCACCUUUCGGGUUAUAUUGACUCUGUCCAUGAAGCUUUCUGUCAGUUGUGCUGUUGAUCCAACUUUGUAUAUUCUUCAAUUUCUAUGAGAAAUGCUUGGAUUCCUUAAUAUUCUUAAAUCAUGUCAGAGAUAUAAAUGACCCAGAACACCCAUAUUCAGUGGAAGAACUGAAAGUGGUCGCAGAAGAUUCAGCUGAAGUUAAUGACAAGCAAAGUUAUGUUAGGCAACUACCUAUCUUCUAAUAAUCUGAACUGUACUUCUGUUGUCUGUUAUUGGACUUUGCCUCUGUGUAAAACUUAUGCGAAGUCUUCCUUCUCGUUACAAGGUAAAGUUAGCCAUUUGGUACAUCCUUAUAAAUCAAACUUGCUGUGGCAGUGUAUUAUCCCAGAAGUAUAACGUCGUGCUUUUUCAGUAUCAGACUAUAUGUUGGUUAAACAUCAAAGCUAACUAUGAACACUUCUUAUUCUUUACAUGCCAAAUGGGUUUUCUAGUUUUUGUGUUAUAUUCUGGACUAGCUGUUUCCAUCAGCUGCAAGUCUAGAAUAUAUUAUGCCCCUUGACGAAAUACUUACAAGGUGAAGAAAGCUACAUGUUUGGUAUAGAAGUUUCAUGUACCAUUUCAUCAUUUUCUACAUUUAAUUUCAUUAAAAGAGCUUAUAUUUGUCAUAGGAGAUUAUUCAGAAAUAAUCUGUCAUAUCAUUUAAAAUUAGUGGAAGUCCAACAUGGAUGAUGGUCCAUGGCUCCUAUUUCCUGGAAGGUCUUCUACUCAGCAGGCUACCGAUCUGUAGUCAAUGUUAGUUGGCGAGGUCAUCACCCGAGGAGAAGAGGAGGGGCAAUAUUUUGAUCUGUUGACCAACAAGUUAAACUUGAACCAGAAAAACGGGAUUGAAAUAAUUUAAAAGUGGAGCCAAAAAUUGACCUAGCUCAAAAUUAAGCUCGAAAUAAUGGUAAACAAAUGAAGCUUGAUCUUAGGGUUCGAGCUCGAAACUACUUUCAAACCCUGCUAGAUAAGAUCCAAGCUCAAACAAUCUCUGCUCAAUUACACCCCUGGUUCUUCGUCUUCCAUUGGAUAAUGGUCAUGCUGUUCGUGCUUCUUUCUCUCCCUUACUUUGUCCUUUUUGUUCAUCUCUGUUGCUUUUGUUCUUCAUCUUUUUUCCCCAAACUGGGAAAGUGGCAUUGCUUUUAGGCUUAUAUGAAGAGGCUGCAAUGAUUCCUGAAUGAGGGUUUUGCUACAGUGUGAAGUGGAAAACUAGUUCGAGCGGCAACGCUUGGUUCUGUUUGGCAGGCAACCUAUUUGCAGCUGGCUUGAUUUAGUUGCAGAGUGUUCCGAACUAACAUAAUGCCGGAUGAAGUGGUAAAUUUCAGCCUCCUCUUCCUCUUCCCCUUUUUUUGAUUUUUGAUUUCUGUUUUGAAUAUACUCCUGUUCCAACCUCAUUUUCUUAGUUUUCCUGACUCUUCUUCUUUACUUCACUUAUUUUUUCCAUGUAACAAGGGUUUUUGUCUUGCAUGGGUUCCUUUUUCCUUCCAUAAUUCUCUAUUUUACCUUCUUUUUUUCAAGUAAUAUUAUGGAAAAAGACAAAGUGGCUUGCUUAGGGGCUGACUAGGGUUGGUGGCAACUUCAAGUUCCUUUCUGCGAGCUUCCCUUGUGUAGGAGUUGCAGAUUCCCUGGUAGAAAUUUCUCUAGGGUUGGUAUUAAAUAGGGCAAUCUGCUUGGACUUUCUUUUGAUGAUGUCCUUAAUCUCGUUUAGAGUUAUCCAGUCAAAUUUAUUCUGCUGCUUUUAUCUGCUUUUAUUUUCUUGAUCUUCCUACUAAUCUUUGCAUAGCUGGUGGUAUUGUUUCACUUGUAAACUUUUAUGCUUCAAAGGCCUGGUAAUACUCUCUAUUGCUGUCAGGUGAUCUAUCAGUAGCUAAUGCAUAAAUUUCUAUACAAUUUUUUUGAAUUCAAUUUUCCACUACAACUAUCCAUGAAAUAAUGUUUCCUUAUAAAUUUAUUACUAUUGUUUAUCGACUAGAAUUAUUACAAAUUAGUUAUUUGCAAUACUUAUUUCUAAUUAUUUGCUACAUAUUCUUCAUGGCUUUUUUGAACAAAAAUAUGAACUUUCUAUUCUUUCAAAUGUAUAAUUUAUACUUAUCCCUAUAUUUUGUAAUAUUGUUUGCCGAUUUGUUGGGAAAACAUGGAAAUAAAAUGUAAAGAUUGUAUGCUUUGCAAGUUGGAAGGUCCAUUGUUCUGCUGGCUACCGCUGCAGCCUGUUGGAGACUGCAUAAGAUUUCUGGUUAAUGGAAUGAGAUAAGCCUUUCCUCCUACACAACUCUGCCAUUUUCUCCAGAAACUUUUGGAAGCAUCAGUUCCAUGAGGAUGAUGAUACCUGUGCGGAAGUCUGCCCCCUCUUCUGAAACAAUAAUUUGCUUAUGUUACAUAUGGCUUCUUAUUGGCAGUAGAGGUAGAAGUUGAUAGGUAUAUGAUUUGUUUCCCCUGUUUUCUCAUCCUUUACAUCUUUACUAUUUUUGUGAUUCUCUUAUUGAGCAGUACAAUCUUCUAAGCAUGGUUAAAAUGGACCUGGCCAUUAUUUGUACAAUUUGAUAAAACAGGUUCAGAGGCUCCUUUUCUACAGAAACCAUAAAUGAAAAUUGGCUAGUCUUUUUAUA